GCCCCCAAAAUCCUUCAGUAGUGUGUGUGUGUGAUAUUGUCACGGCGACGUCUAGAGAGAGAAAAACCCUCGCCGGAAAAUUGAAAAACAAUGUGCUCUACAAAGCACACGCAGAAGCACCAAAACAGCCACAAUCACCCCCGCACCUCCCCCUCCACCGCGGCCGUUGUCACCGGGGAGGAUUGGAGAGAUGAGGCCGUCACCACCGGAUCGCUGAAGCACGUCGACCUCAACACCGGAUCCAACGGCUGGGCGUCGCCGCCAGGGGACCUAUUCUCCGUCCGAGGCCCGAAUUACCUGACGAAGAAGGGCAAGAACCCCGCCGGUGAGUGGCUGAUGAAUCCGGCCGGCGUCGACUGGCUCAGAUCCAGCGGCAAACUCGAUCACGUCCUGGCGCGGCCGGACAACCGCGUGAUGAACGCGCUGCGCGCCUCGAGGUGCGAGAAAUCGUCGAAGACGUUCAUCAUCGCGAUCAAUCUCCAAGUCCCCGGGCGCGAGCAUCACUCGGCGGUUUUCUACUUUUCCAGCAAGGUCGACGAGCCGAUUGGGUCGAAUUCGCUGCUGUAUCAGUUCAUCAACGGCUCCGAUGCCUUCCGCAGCAGUCGAUUUAAGAUUGUGAAUAAAAUCGUGAAAGGACCGUGGAUUGUGAAAACGACGGUGGGGAAUUACUCGGCGUGUUUGUUAGGGAAGGCGUUGAAUUGCUACUACCACCGCGGACCUAAUUAUUUGGAAAUCGAUGUCGAUAUCGGUAGCUCCGCCAUCGCCUCCGCGAUUUUGAAGCUGGCGUUGGGUUGCGUGACGGCGGUGACGAUCGAUAUGGGCUUUUUGGUUGAGGGACAAAAGGAGGAAGAGCUGCCUGAGCGGUUAUUCGGUGCCGUGAGGAUUUGUCAAAUGGAGAUGAGCUCAGCCACGUUUGUUGAGAGCGCAAUCGCAACAAGCAAGGUUUUGCCGAUGAGUAGUGGCGGUGAAAGCGAAAAUGAGGAUGAUUAAAUGAUUAAAUCCUUAGCCGUUGGGAAGCUAGUUUGCAGAACAAUGAAGAAAGGGAUAGGGCUACAUUUUUCUCUGGCCAUCCAUCCAAAAGAGAUUUUUGUCAGCACGCUAAUCAUGACCGCUGCUGAAAUGAGCAAAUGCAAGGAAAAAGAGGAGGGCCCUCUCCAUUGGCACCCCACCCCAGUGCCACACUCCUCUCCCCCUCCCGUGGGGUGCCUCGUGCCGCACCGGAACUUGUGCUGCGAUGCGAUACCCCCGCCCCUCCCCUCCCCUCACUUGUUAGGCUAUCUGCCAAAUUUUGAAAAACCAGAGACAUGUUUAGAACGACGAAACGUGCGAAACACUGGUAAGUUUUGCGUUGUACAAUCUGAAUUGAACAUCUUGGCAUCAUAAAUUUAAUGCGUUUUUCUGCAAUGUACAACCACAAUCAUAUUCACACGUUAUGGAAACUACUUGCAACGCUACUUGCUAAACAUUGAAAAGUGUAGUACUCCUAUAAUUUGUAAUUGAACAUCUUGCACCACAAAUUUAA